UACGUAGGGAGCAAGCGUUGUCCGGAAUCAUUGGGCGUAAAGCGCGCGUAGGCGGCCCUGUAAGUCCGUUGUGAAAGUCAAAGGCUCAACCUUUGAAAGCCGAUGGAUACUGCAGGGCUAGAGUCCGGAAGAGGCGAGUGGAAUUCCUGGUGUAGCGGUGAAAUGCGCAGAUAUCAGGAAGAAUACCUAUGGCGAAGGCAGCUCUCUGGGACGGUACUGACGCUGAGACGCGAAAGCAUGGGGAGCGAACAGG
rnacentral:rRNA from 1 species